GACGAACGCUGGCGGCGUGCUUAACACAUGCAAGUCGAACGGAAAGGCCCUGCUUUUGUGGGGUGCUCGAGUGGCGAACGGGUGAGUAACACGUGAGUAACCUGCCCUUGACUUUGGGAUAACUUCAGGAAACUGGGGCUAAUACCGGAUAGGAGCUCCUGCUGCAUGGUGGGGGUUGGAAAGUUUCGGCGGUUGGGGAUGGACUCGCGGCUUAUCAGCUUGUUGGUGGGGUAGUGGCUUACCAAGGCUUUGACGGGUAGCCGGCCUGAGAGGGUGGCCGGCCACCUUGGGACUGAGAUACGGCCCAGACUCCUACGGGGGGCAGCAGUGGGGAAUAUUGCACAAUGGUCGGAAGCCUGAUGCAGCAACGCCGCGUGCGGGAUGACGGCCUUCGGGUUGUAAACCGCUUUCGCCUGUGACGAAGCGUGAGUGACGGUAAUGGGUAAAGAAGCACCGGCUAACUACGUG
rnacentral:rRNA from 1 species